CUCUGACGCAAUCUGGACGCUAAAGGCAGUCAAUGCUGACUUCUAUUUUAUUAUCCUUCAGGCGCUGUGAGAGGUCAGCGGACCUUCAACGUUCCCUACAGGCUCCGUCGGGUCAGAUUUGUUUCUCAGGAAUGAUUUUAAUUCGUCCGGUUCUGCUCACAGAGUUCAGUCCGAGUGUCUUUCACACCUGGGCGUUGAUGCUCGGGCAUCUGGACCCCCGCGGCGCGGCGCCUGGCAUGGCUGCAGAGUCCGAGGGAAACGUGUCAUCGGCUCACAGGCGACGGGGGACGAAGCAGAGCGCCAGAGAGCUGAUUAUACCCAGAAAUGAUUUUUCUUCAGCGUCCCGAACUCGUCGUCGUCCUUUUGGUAGAAUUUCCACGCAGAAACGGAACCGUCAGAGAGAAAACCUAAAAGCUCGUCCUGAUCCACCUGGAUGAUGAAACCUGAAGGCAUCGGUGCGGCUCAGGUGUGUUGCCAUGGUAGCAGCCCUGACCGUCAUCCUUUGGUUCCAGCAUCAUCAGAAAACAUUUUUUGUUUUUCCUGCUGAACCAUCCAGCUGGUUUCUCCUGGAGGUUUUUCCGUUUGAGGUCAGGCUCGUCCUUCUCCUCUGAGGACGACACAGAACAACAAACGACAGCCUGAAGGCGCCGCGGUGACAUCAGAGGACGAGCCGGCUGUCAGGAGACACGCGGGACCAUGUUGGGGACACGAUCCGGUGCCGUCUCACUGCUCCUCCAGACAGCUGCUGCUCUCUCCGUCUCGCUCCGGCUCUUUUGUCAUCGGACCGGUGUUUCAGCGUGGCUCCUGCGUUUCGCUGAACUGCUGCUCCUCCUGACCUCCUGUGUCUGUUUUGACAGCUUCCUCAUGUCUUGAUUCAUCGAUGACUCUGCGGUGCUCAGCCGCCUGGCUGAUCCGGUUCAUACCGUUGAAACCACAUAUUUACACACCAAUUUUUAUAUAUAUUCCAACUAAAUUUAAAUUGUGUCCCAAGUUUUUGUCAACACCGUCAGACAUUAAAAACAAUGUAAAAAAAAAAUCUGCCUUUAUUGGGGGGCAUCAGAAAUGCUUUCUGUGUCUUCCUUUGCUGGAGGGCGAGGCAUCUCUGGUUAGCUUCGGUUAGCUCUGGUUAGCUUUGGUUAGGUCUGGUUAGCUUUGGUUAGGUCUGGUUAGCUUCGG